CCUACGGGAGGCAGCAGUGGGGAAUCUUGCGCAAUGGGCGAAAGCCUGACGCAGCAACGCCGCGUGCGGGAAGAAGGCUUUCGGGCUGUAAACCGCUUUCAGCAGGAACGAAAAUGACGGUACCUGCAGAAGAAGGAGCGGCCAACUAUGUGCCAGCAGCCGCGGUGAUACAUAGGCUUCAAGCGUUGUCCGGAUUUAUUGGGCGUAAAGAGUUCGUAGGCGGUCGAGUAAGUCGGGUGUGAAAAUUCUGGGCUCAACCCAGAGACGCCACCCGAUACUGCUUAACUUGAGUUUGAUAGGGGAGUGGGGAAUUCCUAGUGUAGCGGUGAAAUGCGCAGAUAUUAGGAGGAACACCGGUGGCGAAGGCGCCACUCUGGAUCGAUACUGACGCUGAGGAACGAAAGCAUGGGUAGCAAACAGGAUUAGAUACCCUGGUAGUCCAUGCCGUAAACGGUGGGCACUAGGUGUGGGAUUCUAUUAACGAAUUCCGCGCCGUCGCUAACGCAUUAAGUGCCCCGCCUGGGGGAGGUACGGUCGCGAGACGUAAACUUAAACGUAAGUAGUACGGCGUGAGAGCGACGGACGACGACGAGGGAGUAGG
rnacentral:rRNA from 1 species